rnacentral:rRNA from 1 species
AUUGAACGCUGGCGGAAUGCUUUACACAUGCAAGUCGAACGGCAGCACGGGGCAACCUGGUGGCGAGUGGCGAACGGGUGAGUAAUAUAUCGGAACGUGCCCAAUCGUGGGGGAUAACGUAGCGAAAGUUACGCUAAUACCGCAUACGAUCUACGGAUGAAAGCGGGGGAUCGCAAGACCUCGCGCGAAUGGAGCGGCCGAUAUCAGAUUAGGUAGUUGGUGGGGUAAAGGCUCACCAAGCCAACGAUCUGUAGCUGGUCUAGAGAGGACGACCAGCCACACUGGAACUGAGACACGGUCCAGACUCCUACGGGAGGCAGCAGUGGGGAAUUUUGGACAAUGGGCGCAAGCCUGAUCCAGCCAUUCCGCGUGCAGGAUGAAGGCCUUCGGUGUAACUAGCUUUGUACGGUAACGAACGGUCGUAGCCUAACUACGGACGGGCUAAUUGACGGUACCGUUAACGGAAUAAGACAACCGGCUAACUUACCGUAGCCAGGCAGACCGCCGGUAACGUACUAA